AUGGGUACAAGGCUGCUCUGCUGUGUAGCAUUUUGUCUGCUUGGGGCAGGUUCCUUUGUUGCUGAAGUAACCCAGACUCCAAGAUACCUGGUCAAAGAGAAAGGACAGAAAGUAAAUAUGAGCUGUAGUCCUGAAAAGGCCCAUACUGCCUUUUACUGGUAUCAACAGAACCAGAAAAAAGAACUUACAUUUUUGAUUAAUUUUCGAAAGGUAGACAUUAUUGACCAAACAGACUUGGUCAAGAAGAGAUUCUCAGCUCAGUGUGUCCCAGGCUUACACUGCACCCUGGAGAUCCCAUCCUCUGAAGAAGGAGACUCAGCAUUGUACUUCUGUGCCAGUAGUCUGUACACAGCACUGAAAUGUACAUCCCCCUCUGUGCAUAAACUGGUGUGGACACAACUCAGGAAGUGGGUGAUGCCAGAAACUGGAGGACAGUAA